rnacentral:rRNA from 1 species
GUAACACGUAGUCAACCUGCCCUGGAGACAUGGACAACCCCGGGAAACUGGGAUUAAUCCGUGAUAGGUCAUCUCAUCUGGAAGGAGAGAUGGCUUAAAGGGGUACGCGGGCUUCUUCUGCGUAUUCGCUCCAGGAUGGGACUGCGUCCGAUCAGGCUGUUGGCGGGGUAAUGGCCCACCAAACCUGUAACCGGUACGGGCCUUGAGAGAGGUGGCCCGGAGAUGGACACUGAGAGAAGGGUCCAGGUCCUACGGGGCGCAGCAGGCGCGAAACCUUCGCAAUGCGCGAAAGCGUGACGAGGUUAAUCCGAGUGGCCCCCGCUGAGGGGGUCUUUUGUCAGCUGUAAAUAGGCGGGCGAAUAAGGGGAGGGCAAGCCUGGUGUCAGCCGCCGCGGUAAUACCAGCUCCUCGAGUGGUCGGGGCGAUUAUUGGGUCUAAAGCAUCCGUAGCCGGUUCCGUAGGUCCUCUGUUAAAUCCGCCCGCUUAACGGGUGACCUGCAGAGGAUACCGCGGGACU